GAUGAACGCUGGCGGCGUGCCUAAUACAUGCAAGUCGAGCGAAGCGGGGACGGGUGAGUAUCACGUGGAUAACCCCCUCUAUGACUGGGAUAACUUCGGGAAACCGGAGCUAAACCGGAUACUUAUACUUGGAUCCGCGCUGCAUUAGCUAGUUGGUAAGGUAACGGCUUACCAAGGCAACGAGGCAUAGCCGACCUGAGAGGGUGAUCGGCCAACCUGGAACGGAGACACGGGCCAGACUCCUACGGGAGGCAGCAGUAGGGAAUCUUCCGCAAUGGGCGAAAGCCUGACGGAGCAACGCCGCGUGAGUGAUGAAGGUCUUCGGUUCGUAAAACUCUGUUAUUAGGGAAGCGGUACCUAAUCAGAAAGCCACGGCUAACUACGUGCCAGCAGCCGCGGUAAUUC
rnacentral:rRNA from 1 species